AAGACCUUGCACUUUUGGAGCGGCCGAUGUCUGAUUAGCUAGUUGGUGGGGCAAUGGCCUACCAAAGCUUCGAUCAGUAGCUGGUCUGAGAGGACGGCCAGCCACACUGGGACUGAGACACGGCCCAGACUCCUACGGGAGGCAGCAGUGGGGAAUUUUGGACAAUGGGCGCAAGCCUGAUCCAGCCAUGCCGCGUGAGUGAAGAAGGCCUUCGGGUUGUAAAGCUCUUUCAGCCGGGAAGAAAAGGUUGCGACUAAUAAUCGCAAUCCAUGACGGUACCGAAAGAAGAAGCACCGGCUAACUACGUGCCAGCAGCCGCGGUAAUACGUAGGGUGCGAGCGUUAAUCGGAAUUACUGGGCGUAAAGGGUGCGCAGGCGGUUUUGUAAGUCAGAUGUGAAAUCCCCGGGCUUAACCUGGGAACU
rnacentral:rRNA from 1 species